rnacentral:rRNA from 1 species
GCAAUCUUUGACUAAUGAGUGCUUGCACUCAGCGGUCAAAGUGCGAGUGGCGAACGGGUGAGUAACACGUGGGCAAUCUGCCCAAAAGUGGGGGAUAACACUUGGAAACAGGUGCUAAUACCGCAUCAACCGGCUGACCGCAUGGUCGGCCGGGCAAAGACGGCGUCAGCUGUCGCUUUUGGAUGAGCCCGCGGCGUAUUAACUAGUUGGUAAGGUAACGGCUUACCAAGGUGAUGAUACGUAGCCGAACUGAGAGGUUGAUCGGCCACAUUGGGACUGAGACACGGCCCAAACUCCUACGGGAGGCAGCAGUAGGGAAUCUUCCACAAUGGACGCAAGUCUGAUGGAGCAACGCCGCGUGUAUGAAGAAGGUCUUCGGAUCGUAAAAUACUGUUGUCAGAGAAGAACACGUGAUAAAGUAACUGUUAUCGCGCUGACGGUAUCUGACCAGCAAGUCACGGNUAACUACGUGCCACAGCCCNGGUNAUACAAC